UGGGGAAUUUUGGACAAUGGGCGAAAGCCUGAUCCAGCCAUGCCGCGUGAGUGAAGAAGGCCUUCGGGUUGUAAAGCUCUUUUAGUCGGAAAGAAAGAGUCGCAAUGAAUAAUUGUGAUUUAUGACGGUACCGACAGAAAGAGCACCGGCUAACUACGUGCCAGCAGCCGCGGUAAUACGUAGGGUGCGAGCGUUAAUCGGAAUUACUGGGCGUAAAGGGUGCGCAGGCGGUCUUGCAAGUCAGAUGUGAAAGCCCCGGGCUUAACCUGGGAAUUGCGUUUGAAACUACAAGACUAGAGUGCAGCAGAGGGGAGUGGAAUUCCAUGUGUAGCAGUGAAAUGCGUAGAGAUGUGGAAGAACACCGAUGGCGAAGGCAGCUCCCUGGGUUGACACUGACGCUCAUGCACGAAAGCGUGGGGAGCAAACA
rnacentral:rRNA from 1 species